UACGGGGGGGGCAAGCGUUGUUCGGAAUUACUGGGCGUAAAAGGCGCGUAGGCGGCACGGCAAGUCGGGAGUGAAAGGCCUGGGCUCAACCGAGGAACUGCUUUCGAGACUGCCGAGCUAGAGUGCGGAAGGGGCAACUGGAAUUCCCAGUGUAGCGGUGAAAUGCGUAGAUAUUGGGAAGAACACCUGAGGCGAAGGCGGGUUGCUGGGCCGACACUGACGCUGAGGCGCGAAAGCCAGGGGAGCAAACGGG
rnacentral:rRNA from 1 species